rnacentral:rRNA from 1 species
AUUGAACUCUGUCGGCAGGCCUAACACAUGCAAGUCGAGCGAUCGUCGGACGGGUUAGUAAUGUAUGGGGACUGCCCGAUAGAGGGGGAUAACUACUGGAACCGGUAGCUAAUACCGCAUACUAUCGGAUAACCCAUAUGGGAUUAGCUAGUAGGUGAGGUAAUGGCUCACCUAGGCGACGAUACCUAGCUGGUCUGCGAGGAUGAUCAGCCAAACUGGGACUGAGAAACGGCCCAGACUCCUACGGAGGCAGCAGUGGGGAAGAUUGCACAAUGGGCGCAAGCCGGAUGCAGCCAUGCCGCGUGUAUGAAGAAGGCCCUAGGGUUGUAAAGUACUUUCAGUCGGGAGGCGUUACCGACAGAAGAAGCACCGGCUAACUCCGUGCCAGCAGCCGCGGUAAUAC